AAUCUGUGAUGUAAAGAUUCUGCCAAAUGAUCCAGCUGAUUAUACCCCUUCCGUUCCAUUAUCUUCUGAGGUU
ensembl:snoRNA